UAAGUACUCCCUCCAUUCGGAAUUACUUGUCGCGAAAAUGGAUGUAUCUAGACGUAUUUUAGUUCUAGAUACAUCCAUUUCCAAGACAAGUAAUUCCGAACGGAGGGAGUAGCUC
rnacentral:pre_miRNA from 1 species